GGGCAAUGGCAAAUGGAAGCUCAGAUAUGGUCAGGGCGACCAGUUUUCUGGAAGGAGGACUGCAGGAGGACCCCCCUGGGAGGAGGGGAAGCAGACAGCAGUUCAGAAGCAGAGCCUGGGAGGAUGUACAGAGUAAGCCUGUGGCAGGGAAACCAAGGGUCUUUGCGGGCCCUUGGAGGGUCCCAGGAAGGUGAGCCCCAAAAUAAUGAUGAUGAGCUUAUAAUAACUACCAUUUGCUGAGUACUCCAAACACUUUACAUAAGCACGUCUUUCAUACAAAGUUGGAUGAGGCAUUAUGGAAGGAUAGCAUUUACUAGAAGAAAUAUGGAGCAGCAGCUUUGAAGCCUGAGCAAGGGACCUCGGCAGCCCCAACCUGACUUGGCUUCACUCAGCCUUACUGAACCAGAUCCAACACUGUUGGCUCCCUGGGCUUGCUAUAGCUCUCUGAUCCUUAGCAU
rnacentral:lncRNA from 1 species